AGCCACGGCUAACUACGUGCCAGCAGCCGCGGUAAUACGUAGGUGGCAAGCGUUGUCCGGAAUUAUUGGGCGUAAAGCGCGCGCAGGUGGUUUCUUAAGUCUGAUGUGAAAGCCCACGGCUCAACCGUGGAGGGUCAUUGGAAACUGGGAGACUUGAGUGCAGAAGAGGAUAGUGGAAUUCCAAGUGUAGCGGUGAAAUGCGUAGAGAUUUGGAGGAACACCAGUGGCGAAGGCGACUAUCUGGUCUGUAACUGACACUGAGGCGCGAAAGCGUGGGGAGCAAACAGGAUUAGAUACCUGGUAGUCCACGCCGUAAACGAUGAGUGCUAAGUGUUAGGGGGUUUCCGCCCCUUUAGUGCUGCAGCUAACGCAUUAAGCACUCCGCCUGGGGAGUACGGUCGCAAGACUGAAACUCAAAGGAAUUGACGGGGGCCCGCACAAGCGGUGGAGCAUGUGGUUUAAUUCGAAGCAACGCGAAGAACCUUACCAGGUCUUGACAUCCCGUUGACCACUGUAGAGAUAUGGUUUCCCCUUCGGGGGCAACGGUGACAGGUGGUGCAUGGUUGUCGUCAGCUCGUGUCGUGAGAUGUUGGGUUAAGUCCCGCAACGAGCGCAACCCUUGAUCUUAGUUGCCAUCAUUUAGUUGGGCACUCUAAGGUGACUGCCGGUGACAAACCGGAGGAAGGUGGGGAUGACGUCAAAUCAUCAUGCCCCUUAUGACCUGGGCUACACACGUGCUACAAUGGACGAUACAAACGGUUGCCAACUCGCGAGAGGGAGCUAAUCCGAUAAAGUCGUUCUCAGUUCGGAUUGUAGGCUGCAACUCGCC
rnacentral:rRNA from 1 species